rnacentral:rRNA from 1 species
AGAGUUUGAUCAUGGCUCAGGAUGAACGCUGGCGGCGUGCCUAAUACAUGCAAGUCGAACGAGGUGCUUUUGUAGCAAUACGAGAGUAUCCUAGUGGCGAACGGGUGAGUAACGCGUUGGUGACCUACCCCAAAGUGUGGGAUAACAGUCCGAAAGGAUUGCUAAUACCGCAUGUGGUCAUUGGAUCUAGAAACUGAUGACUAAAGGAGCAAUUCGCUUUGGGAGGGACCUGCGUCCCAUCAGCUAGUUGGUGAGGUAACGGCUCACCAAGGCGACGACGGGUAGGGGACCUGAGAGGGUGGCCCCCCACAAUGGAACUGAAACACGGUCCAUACACCUACGGGUGGCAGCAGUAGGGAAUAUUGCUCAAUGGGCGAAAGCCUGAAGCAGCAACGCCGCGUGUGUGAUGAAGGCCUUCGGGUCGUAAAGCACUUUUCUGGGAGAUGAGAAAGGACAGUAUCCCAGGAAUAAGUCUCGGCUAACUACGUGCCAGCAGCCGCGGUAAAACGUAGGAGGCAAGCGUUAUCCGGAUUCACUGGGCGUAAAGCGCGUGCAGGCGGUGCGGUAAGUUGGGUGUGAAAUCUCCCGGCUCAACUGGGAGAGGUCAUUCAAUACUACCGUACUUGAGAGUAGAAGAGGAAGAUGGAAUUCCCGGUGUAGUGGUGAAAUGCGUAGAUAUCGGGAGGAACACCAGUGGCGAAGGCGAUCUUCUGGUCUAUUUCUGACGCUCAGACGCGACAGCUAGGGUAGUAAACGGGAUUAGAGACCCCGGUAAUCCUAGCCGUAAACGAUGUGAACUUGGCGUUGGUGGGUUAAACUCCAUCAGUGCCGUAGCAAACGCGAUAAGUUCACCGCCUGGGGACUACGGCCGCAAGGUUAAAACUCAAAGGAAUUGACGG